rnacentral:lncRNA from 1 species
AGAGCCCGAUUAGCUUCUUCCCCAAGUUGAUCCUGAAGGUGUUCGAGCUUGCGAAUUUCAUGCAUCAGUGUGAAAGGUGCAGCUGAUGAUAGUCUCAUGGACUGCCUUAGUGUUGCUUUUGUCAUCUUCUCACAGUGAAUGAAGUCCUUGCUCUCAGGUUUCGACGUCAUUGCUGCUGAGUAUGACAGACACUUCUUCACGAGUGGGUGGGGUGAUUCAACUUCGCGGAAUAUCUACACAGCAGAAAUUUGAGGAUAAAUGAGCAGAAAGCCUAAAGAAUGUUAUGUAGAAGAAAAUAGAUAGAAUUUACAGCAUGAGGCAGCAGAAGCAGACCUUUCCAUCUUCAAGUUUUUCAUCUUGGAGUUUCUUGCGUAACUCGUCCACCUCACACUUCGCAAGGUCUCUUUGGCGCCUCAGUUCCUCAAUUUCCAUCUCCAGCUGCACAUAUUGAGACAGUUGAGUUCAAUGAAUGGAGCUACAAUUAGUUAAACUUUACUACCAACUUUGAAUUAAUCAAAAUGUAUUGAAGUUUCACCUGCUGUAUUUUCCAGUCUUUUUCAGAUGAAGGGUCAGGAGUGCGCCGUUCUGCUUCCAGCCUCGCUACUUCCUUCUGUAAAUGCUUCACUAGCUGCUUGUCCGAAAUAACCUGAUAAUAUUAUUCGGGGUAAGAAUAUUAAUAGCCGUUUUUUAAUCAAAACAAGAAUGAAAGAUAUCUCAUCAGCAGGGUCUCCUUUGAACAGAAGAUAGAAUUGUGUUCUGUGGAUGAUUGGUACAAAGCAAACGUCCCAUAAUUCUAUGAUCUGCUGCCGUUGUUCUCUGAAGGUCACAUGCCAUGGAACUUGUGGUUCUACCGGUCCAAUCGCUGCUUCCUCCUCGUCCUCCAAGUUAUACCCAGCUGCUUCAUUUGCUUCCAGUUCUAGUACCUAGAAACAUAACACAACAGAAUCAGAACUUUAAAGAAUCUGAACAAAUACAACACAGCACUUCUAAUUUUCAUACCUGGCAGACUAACAGCUGCUUUUGAUAUUGGAGUUUUGCAACGCGUUCCUUCAGCUCUGUGACAUAGUUUCUAAUGCUUCUCACAUUUUCCUCUGCUGCAUUUUGGAACAUCUUCUGCAUUUUCUUCAUGUUGACUGAGCUUGUACGCCGAGAACCAGGUGUCCCUUCCUUUGACGACACAUCUCCACCUUCCUCACUCUUCAUUGGAGUCUGUUGUUGUUUCUCGGACACUUUGGACGCAACAUCAUCGCUCUCCGGUGCUCUAUUUUCUGUCUCGUUCUCCAGUACUUGCCUCGAUGAUGCCAAAGGCGCACAAGGAGAUCUAAUGAAGUUCUGCAUGUUUGCACCGUUGCUUGAACAUAAAGGGUGAGUCUUUUUCUUCCUGUGCUGGUUCUUAGGAUUGGAAGCUGCUGACUCAUCUGAAUUGUUACUUGGAAGUGACAUGAUCAGCUUGUCAAUCGACUUCUGGACGUUCUCUAGUUGCUCUUCGAGAUUUGCGAUGUUGCUUCCUUGCGAAUGAAGUCUCGUUAUUUCUUCCUUCAGAUUAGCACUGACACUCUUGUUACUUCCAAUUGCAACUUCCCUUGGUAGCGGAGCUGAGCGCAUUUCCCUUAUUUCAGCUUGAAGUUUAGCUAUUGUCUCGGCUGCAUCUUGAUUACCUAGUCUGUGACAAGCAACCUCUUUCUGCAAAACUUCCAGAGCCCGAUUAGCUUCUUCCCCAAGUUGAUCCUGAAGGUGUUCGAGCUUGCGAAUUUCAUGCAUCAGUGUGAAAGGUGCAGCUGAUGAUAGUCUCAUGGACUGCCUUAGUGUUGCUUUUGUCAUCUUCUCACAGUGAAUGAAGUCCUUGCUCUCAGGUUUCGACGUCAUUGCUGCUGAGUAUGACAGACACUUCUUCACGAGUGGGUGGGGUGAUUCAACUUCGCGGAAUAUCU